GAACGCAUAUUGCGCUCUCUGGUAUUCCGGAGAGCAUGCUUGUUUGAGUAUCAGUAAACACCUCAACUCCUUUUUCUUUUUUGAAAUUGGAGCUGGACUUGAGUGAUCCCAACGCUUUCUUCCAAGAAAGUGGCGGGUUGCUUGAAAAGCAGGUGCAGCUGAACUUUUCUUUGAGCUAUAAGCAUAUCUAUUUAGUCUGCCUAAAAAACAGAUUAUUACCUUUGCUGCAGCUAACAUAAAGGAGACUAGUUCUUGUGCUGACUGAUGCAGGAUUCACAGAGACAGCUUCGGCUGACUUUGUAAACUCGAUCUCAAAUCAAGUAAGACUACCCGCUGAACUUA
rnacentral:misc_RNA from 1 species